rnacentral:rRNA from 1 species
UACGUAGGGUGCGAGCGUUGUCCGGAAUUAUUGGGCGUAAAGAGCUCGUAGGCGGUCUGUCGCGUCGGUCGUGAAAACUUGGGGCUUAACCCUGAGCUUGCGGUCGAUACGGGCAUGACUGGAGUUCGGUAGGGGAGACUGGAAUUCCUGGUGUAGCGGUGAAAUGCGCAGAUAUCAGGAGGAACACCGGUGGCGAAGGCGGGUCACUGGACCAUUACUGACGCUGAUGCUCGAAAGCUAGGGGAGC